GUGCACUCACUUUGGCAGCACAUAUACUAAUAUUGGAAUGAUACAGAGAAGACUAGCAUGGCUCCUGUGCAAGGAUGACACAAAUUUGUGAAGCGUUCUACACUUCU